rfam:Nocardiopsis sp. CNR-923 NODE_24_length_76178_cov_169.413_ID_97, whole genome shotgun sequence.
GGAGGAUUCGCCUAGUGGCCUAGGGCGCACGCUUGGAAAGCGUGUUGAGGGCAACCUCUCAGGGGUUCGAAUCCCCUAUCCUCCG